rnacentral:rRNA from 1 species
AUUGAACGCUGGCGGCAGGCCUAACACAUGCAAGUCGAACGGUAACAGGAAACAGCUUGCUGUUUCGCUGACGAGUGGCGGACGGGUGAGUAAUGUCUGGGAAACUGCCUGAUGGAGGGGGAUAACUACUGGAAACGGUAGCUAAUACCGCAUAACGUCGCAAGACCAAAGAGGGGGACCUUCGGGCCUCUUGCCAUCGGAUGUGCCCAGAUGGGAUUAGCUAGUAGGUGGGGUAACGGCUCACCUAGGCGACGAUCCCUAGCUGGUCUGAGAGGAUGACCAGCCACACUGGAACUGAGACACGGUCCAGACUCCUACGGGAGGCAGCAGUGGGGAAUAUUGCACAAUGGGCGCAAGCCUGAUGCAGCCAUGCCGCGUGUAUGAAGAAGGCCUUCGGGUUGUAAAGUACUUUCAGCGGGGAGGAAGGGGGUAAAGUUAAUACCUUGGCUCAUUGACGUUACCCGCAGAAGAAGCACCGGCUAACUCCGUG